UCCACAUUCUCUUUGUUCUUUCCCUUCCAGAAACUCUAGCAUCUAUGAGAAUUUUCUAUUCUAUUCUAUUCAACAAAUCUUUUCACCCCUUCCCUUUUCUUAUUUCUGUUUCUUUGUGCUGCAUCCUUGAUCAUUCUGAGCAACUGAACCAUCACUCCAGCUACUUCUGAUGGGGACAUGGAGGAGUGGGAGAAAUGAACAGAUAAGAAAGAAGGGAACACGGGACAGAAGAUAUCUUCUGUAGUCCUCUCCCAUGUUGACCCUGGCCUGAUCAUGUGACUUGCUUUGCCCAAUGGAGCAUUAGCAAGAGUGACACAGGCAGAGGCUGAAUUUGCACAUGCAUCUUGUUCUCCUGGAACUCACUCUUGGAAUCUGACCACCAUGCAAAGUAGCCCCAGCUAGUCGUGUGGAGAGACCACGUGGAAGCCCGCAGCCUUCCAGCCAUCCCCACUAAUGAAUGGGUCAUAUAGGUGAAUGAGGUGUCUUGGACAUUCCAGUCCCAUCCACCAUUGGCUUCAGCCACUCAAGAUACCUCAAGCAGGACCAGCAGAAGAUCCACCCAGCUGAGCCCUAAUCAGUGCCCAGAAUCAUAAAAAAAAUUCUGUUAUACCACAAUGUCGAAUCAAAGCCUUCCAUUAUUCUCUAGUGGACCCAAGAUCAAGAUCACAUUUCCUGGUGCCCUUCAUGAAAGUUCUCCAUAUCCAAUAACUUCUGCUUUUCUCCUACCAUCCUCCUGAGCUAAGGUACGGUUUCUGCUAAACCAUAGCACCUGAAUUUCUCACACAGUAAAUCAUGACCCUGAAGGGCCUCACUCCCUCCUUGACAUUUACGUGAUAACGAACCAGGAGUCCUAGGUUAAAAGAAUAUAAAAUAAUUUUUUUUUCAUUGCACCUGUGUGACAAAGGGUGUAUCUGUAGAUAGCACAGUGUGGAUACUGAGAAAUGAGGUUCAAAUUAAUAAAGACCAAAUUUAACAUCUAUGCAUACAAUACAGUGAUUAGAUAUAGAAUUUCUUGGCUCAUGCUAUAUCACAAACUAAGCUAAGUAUCGAAAGGCUGUUUUGCUAUGCGGAAGUCCUUGCUAUAAUGAAUUAAUAAGAAUGCUGUGCAAUCAACAUGUUAAUUGUAUGUAAAUGGUAUUUUUUAAAUGCUUUAAAACAAUUUAUUCCCCUGAGCAUUUUAAAUAGGCCCCCUGGAAAGUUA